rnacentral:tRNA from 4 species
AGCGGGGUAGAGAAGUAGUAUCUCACCAGUCCCAUAAGCUGGAGACGUCAGUGCAAUUCUGACCCCCGCAACAA